AUGGGGCUGGAAGGCCAGCAGGUCGGUGGAGGAGAUGAGGCGCCUGGCCACAGGCAGCUACAAUAUGUAGCUGGUUGGGACCCAGUGUCAGCUAAUGCACUGCCCGGGCCAAGGUGUGAAAUGGCCGGUAGAUCUUACGCUCUGGCUCUCCGGGCUGAGAAGCCCAGACAUCACGUUCCAGGAGGCACAACCGGAAGACAGUGGCCCACAGAAGAAAAGUCUGCAGAUGGCAGGGCACCCCGCGCACAUGCAAACUCCUGGUUAGCAGCAGCUGUUGCGGUGAGCCCAGGCCGCAUCACAGAUGACUGAUACUUGAGUUUAAGAAUAACGUCUGGCCAGUCAGAUCAGCAAAAGAUACAGAUGAGACAGAGCAGUGGCAUCUCCCUCUGAGGGGGUCUUAAAAGAAUUUAGACAGUUUUCCGAAAGAGUCGGUUUAGAUCAAGUGACUCUUCUGGAAUAGCAAAAUAGGAAACUGAUUGUAUGAGACUUCUUGAGUUUCUGUUAUGCUUAUCCUUGGAGAAUGGGGAAGCAAAAGCAGUUUUCUACCCGUGUUUUGGCAUAUUCCUACAAAACAGUAUUUUAAUAUUCUUUCUUUAGAGGAACAAAAGCAAAAUUUACACCUUAGGAGUUCCGGUGUUAAGAAUGUUGUUCUCUACAGCGUACGGUGGAUCAGAGACCUGCGGCCCUCAGCGCAGCCGGGCCAGAGAACCACCAACAGCAAGACCGGGCCCUUCGAUCUCCUCCCGACUGUGUUCUCAACCACCAUAAAACUAGCUGAGGGUGGCCAUUUGGUUAAGAUCUGAUUUUUAGAUAAAUAAAAAAAUUUAUCUGAAAUAAAUAUUUCAGGUAAAUAUUCAGAUAAAUUCAGAUCUGAUUUCAGAUAAAUUUUUCAAAGUGUGAGUAUAUCCCAUGCACUAUGUAGGGUACAUUACAAAGUUAUUUGCUGUUUAUCCAAAGUUAAAUUUAACUAGGCAGCCUAUUUUGUCUGUAUUUUACCCCAACAAGCCAGUGGUGCUGGGGGCCCGCUGAGUAUGAGAGGAAAGAAACCUGUGAGGGAAAUUCUCAGACGCGAGCGCAGCAGACAGGGAAGACCCUGCUUACAGUCCCGGGGUCCCACUGCCCGGGGUUCACAUCAGGGCUCCACCGAGCCCACGGACUCUGGACAAGUUGCUUAACCUCUGUCAUCUUCAUCGUAGUGACAGCAACAGCACAUAGGGUUGUUGCAAAGACAACCACGAGUUAGUUCAUGCUUGUGAAGCCCUCGGCUCAGCGCCUGGCACGAAGCAGCUUUCGUUGUAACUGUCAGCUUCUCAUGUUAGAAGCUGGACGGCGGGGCUGGCCCUGCUUCUGAUGGAGAGAGGUGGCGGGGGAAGGCCUGGAAGGGAGGGCCAGAGGACAGCUGAGGUCCAGUCGAGGCUGGGCUGUGCCAUGAAGCAUUGCUUAUUGUGAGGACACUCUGAAGCACGCCUCGACCCCAACAAGACAAUCUAAGAAACAGGGUCCGCCUGCCCAGCCCAUCACGUCAUCGGGGACCCACCUGAGCCACACGCAGCGGAUGCGGCUGCUCCCACCCGCUCCCACCGGCUCCCGGACUCUGCACCUGCCCCACUCCAGGCUCUGUGGCAUCUCACUGGGAGCCGACGCUCGGCCACACCGGGCAGAUGUAGACCGCAGAAACUGGCAAACUCGGCGAUCAGGGCCCUUUCCCCACCUCUGGGACAGGCCCAGACGGAGCACCAGAGAGACUGGGGGCGGGGUGUGGGGGGUGAAUGGCGCCCCUUCUCCAUUUUCUCCUUUGGCUACAGAAUCCAAAUAAAGAGGCCUCUGUCUCCAUUGUAAAAGCCUGACAUACAAGUGCUUAAUUCAGUUAAAACAUGAGGGUGAGCCGAGGAAGAAAUGAAUCUGGCACGUUCUGAGUCUUCCCGCAGCUCAGAACCCAUCCCGCGACACCAAUUAACCUGUGAGAAUAUCAACCUAAAGAUUCUUUUGAUAAUCUCAUUUAACAACAUGAUAAUUAUUGUUUUGUUUUCUAAGGGAUGGAUUUCUUUGUUCAUAUCCUUGACACCAUGUCCCUCCCAUCCCCCCGCCCGCCACGCCCCGCCUUAAACAACAUAGGCAUUUGCAG
rnacentral:lncRNA from 1 species